GUUUCUGUGGUGUAGCGGUUAUCAUGUGUGCUUCACAUGCACACAAGGUCCCUGGUUUGAUCCUGGGUGGGAACA